UGUUUAAUAUAAACAAAGGUUCGUGAUGGCUCCAGAGGGGUGUUGACACGAGGCGAGACCUGCCCAGUGCUCUGAUUGUCAAAGUGAAGAAGUUCAUACAAGGACGGGCGAGCGGCAGGUACGGCAAUGUAC
rnacentral:ncRNA from 1 species